CGUGCCUAACACAUGCAAGUCGAACGAAGUUCUUGGGGACUUUGUGGCGGACGGGUGAGUAACGCGUGAGAAUCUACCUUCAGGGCGGGGACAACAGCUGGAAACGGCUGCUAAUACCCGAUAUGCCGAAAGGUGAAAAGUUAUUUCGCCUGGAGAGGAGCUCGCGUCCGAUUAGCUAGUUGGUGGGGUAAAAGCCUACCAAGGCAACGAUCGGUAGCUGGUGUGAGAGGAUGAGCAGCCACACUGGAACUGAGACACGGUCCAGACUCCUACGGGAGGCAGCAGUGGGGAAUUUUCCGCAAUGGGCGAAAGCCUGACGGAGCAAUGCCGCGUGGGGGAAGAAAGUUUUUGGAUUGUAAACCCCUUUUCUCAAGGAAGAACAAAAUGACGGUACUUGAGGAAUCAGCCUCGGCUAACUCCGUGCCAGCAGCCGCGUUAAUACGGAGGAGGCAAGCGUUAUCCGGAAUUAUUGGGCGUAAAGCGUUCGUAGGCGGCUGUUCA
rnacentral:rRNA from 1 species